GCACCAAAUCUUUCCCAUUCCUUCCUGUGCAGUGUGGGCUUGGGGACACAUGGUGCUUAGAGAACAGCAGAGUGAAUCCAGACAGGUGACUUUUCCUUCACCGAAUACCUGUCUCUACACCUCUGCAACACUU
rfam:Merops nubicus contig90395, whole genome shotgun sequence.